ACGAACGCUGGCGGCGUGCCUAACACAUGCAAGCCGAGCGGUAGAGUUCCUUCGGGGACUUGAGAGCGGCGCACGGGUGCGGAACACGUGUGCAACCUGCCUUUAUCUGGGGGAUAGCCUUUCGAAAGGAAGAUUAAUACCCCAUAAUAUAUUGAUUCGCAUGGAUUGAUAUUGAAAACUCCGGUGGAUAAAGAUGGGCACGCGCAAGAUUAGGUAGUUGGUGAGGUAACGGCUCACCAAGUCAGUGAUCUUUAGGGGGCCUGAGAGGGUGAUCCCCCACACUGGUACUGAGACACGGACCAGACUCCUACGGGAGGCAGCAGUGAGGAAUAUUGGACAAUGGGUGAGAGCCUGAUCCAGCCAUCCCGCGUGAAGGAUGACGGCCCUAUGGGUUGUAAACUUCUUUUGUACAGGGAUAAACCUAGAUACGUGUAUCUAGCUGAAGGUACUGUACGAAUAAGCACCGGCUAACUCCGUGCCAGCCGCCGCUGUAAUAC
rnacentral:rRNA from 1 species